CCUACGGGUGGCAGCAGUGAGGAAUAUUGGUCAAUGGACGAGAGUCUGAACCAGCCAAGUAGCGUGAAGGAUGACGGCCCUACGGGUUGUAAACUUCUUUUGUCAGGGAGCAAUUGGGUCCACGCGUGGGCUUAGCGAGAGUACCUGAAGAAAAAGCAUCGGCUAACUCCGUGCCAGCAGCCGCGGUAAUACGGAGGAUCCGAGCGUUAUCCGGAUUGAUUGGGUUUAAAGGGAGCGUAGGUGGAUUGUUAAGUCAGUUGUGAAAGUUUGCGGCUCAACCGUAAAAUUGCAGUUGAAACUGGCAGUCUUGAGUACAGUAGAGGUGGGCGGAAUUCGUGGUGUAGCGGUGAAAUGCUUAGAUAUCACGAAGAACUCCGAUUGCGAAGGCAGCUCACUGGACUGCAACUGACACUGAUGCUCGAAAGUGUGGGUAUCAAACAGGAUUAGAUACCCUGGUAGUC
rnacentral:rRNA from 1 species